AUGGCAACCAGCAUCCAAUCUGCAACCUCAGGGCCCACCAGGGUCACCUUAUUAGCAUAAAUUCAGGGAUGCAAGGCCCAGGCACCAUGCAAGGACCAGCGAGACAGACAAACACAGUCUAUCGGAGAAAGCGGAGUGUCAAGGGACCACACAGGACAACAUAAUAAAAGAAAGCUGGAGGCUGGGAGCCCUUUGUAAGAAAAACCCUUCGGUGAUUCGGGACCCUCGGUUACAGCACAACUGAGAAAUUGAUCAAUAAACCCCCGGUCAGGGCAGAAAAAAGAGAGAUUUCGGUCAUCCACAUCCACCAUCGGCACUAGCCGUAUAAUUUGACGCACUGGAAAAUUUAAUGAAGUGAAGCCAACAAGCAGGAUCAUGUCG